rnacentral:rRNA from 1 species
GAUGAACGCUAGCGGCAGGCCUAACACAUGCAAGUCGAGGGGUAGAGUUCUUCGGGACUUGGGACCGGCGCACGGGUGCGUAACGCGUAUGCAAUCUACCUUAUACAGGGGAAUAGCCCAGAGAAAUUUGGAUUAAUGCCCCAUAGUGUUAUCGAAUCGCAUGGUUUGAUAACUAAAGUUCCAACGGUAUAAGAUGGGCAUGCGUCCUAUUAGCUAGAUGGUAAGGUAACGGCUUACCAUGGCUACGAUAGGUAGGGGUCCUGAGAGGGAGAUCCCCCACACUGGUACUGAGACACGGACCAGACUCCUACGGGAGGCAGCAGUGAGGAAUAUUGGACAAUGGGCGCAAGCCUGAUCCAGCCAUGCCGCGUGAGUGAUGAAGGCCUUCGGUUGGUAAAGCUCUUUUAUCAGGGACGAUAAUGACGGUACCGUGAUGAAUAAGUCACCGGCUAACUUCGUGCCAGCAGCCGCGGUAAUGUGACUACUG